rnacentral:rRNA from 1 species
AGCGAACGCUGGCGGUAGGCCUAACACAUGCAAGUCGAACGAACCCUUCGGGGUUAGUGGCGGACGGGUGAGUAACACGUGGGAACGUGCCUUUAGGUUCGGAAUAACUCAGGGAAACUUGUGCUAAUACCGAAUGUGCCCUUCGGGGGAAAGAUUUAUCGCCUUUAGAGCGGCCCGCGUCUGAUUAGCUAGUUGGUGAGGUAAUGGCUCACCAAGGCUACGAUCAGUAGCUGGUCUGAGAGGACGACCAGCCACAUUGGGACUGAGACACGGCCCAAACUCCUACGGGAGGCAGCAGUGGGGAAUCUUGCGCAAUGGGCGAAAGCCUGACGCAGCCAUGCCGCGUGGAUGAUGAAGGUCUUAGGAUUGUAAAAUCCUUUCACCGGUGAAGAUAAUGACUGUAGCCGGAGAAGAAGCCCCGGCUGACUUCGUGCCAGCAGCCGCCGCCGUAA